AGUGAACGCUGGCGGCAGGCCUAACACAUGCAAGUCGAACGGCAGCACAGGAGAGCUUGCUCUCUGGGUGGCGAGUGGCGGACGGGUGAGGAAUAUAUCGGAAUCUACCCUUUCGUGGGGGAUAACGUAGGGAAACUUACGCUAAUACCGCAUACGAACUGAGGUUGAAAGCGGCGGACCGCAAGGCGUCGCGCGGAUGGAUGAGCCGAUAUCCGAUUAGCUAGUUGGCGGGGUAAAGGCCCACCAAGGCGACGAUCGGUAGCUGGUCUGAGAGGAUGAUCAGCCACACUGGAACUGAGACACGGUCCAGACUCCUACGGGAGGCAGCAGUGGGGAAUAUUGGACAAUGGGCGCAAGCCUGAUCCAGCCAUACCGCGUGUGUGAAGAAGGCCUUCGGGUUGUAGAGCACUUUUGUUGGGAAAGAAAAGCGGUCGGUUAAUACCCGGUCGUUCUGACGGUACCCAAAGAAUAAGCACCGGCUAACUUCGUGCCAGCAGCCGCCGUAAUAC
rnacentral:rRNA from 1 species